GAUAUUUAUUGUGUUGUGAAUUAACAAAUUAAUAAAGAAAGUAUUUUUUAGUAAAUUUUUGUUGUUGUUGUUAAUUUUGCACAUAGCUUCAGCAUAUAUAUAUAUAUAUAUAUACAUAUAUAUAUAUAUAUAUAUAUUUUAAUCUUAAUGUUGCUUCUUGUGAUAUAAGUAUAUGUGACGGAAACUGGACUCAGAGUGAUUAAUAAGGAAAUGUUGGUACCUGCCUCCCUCUGAUGUAUAAACUGAAAAGCCAUUAUUCCAGGCUGGGUGACCUUCUAAACUAUUUUGAAUUUGAAUUCUAAACAACUCUAGAUGAAAUAAGUAUGAUUUCAAAUACUCUCUGAUGUUAAUUGCCAUUAAUGAGGUCAAACAGGUAUGUUCACAGUCCGUGUGUGUUGACGUGCUGCUGAGGACUCAGCCAGACAUAACUCGGAAACUUACUGAAAUACAGUGUACAGUAUUCUGUAGGACUAAACUACAUUAUAUUUAGCUAUUUGUGUUGUAGACUAGAAAAUAUAGAGGAAAAAAUACAGCAAAGCCAUCUAGUAGCUGUGAGUACAGUUGAUAGAUGAAAAUAUUUUAAAACUAAUUAACAAAUGCUAGCAACUUGUUUAAAAAUUCUGAGGAAUUUCUAUCAGGAAAGAAGGGAACUACGUUGAUUGUGUUCAUCUCAAUGUUAUUUCUUUACAUUCACUUUUGAUGAGAAGUUCCAGCUAAGUUGGGUGAUGCUGAGCUUCUGAACAGGCUGUUCUAACUUUACCUCAGUAUCUUUCCUGGGGUUGAUACCGGAGAAGAAAUAUUGAAUUAAUUGCAUUUAAAGUUAUUUUUACUCUGUUUCCUGGAUUUUUUCACUGCAGGUUCUAAUUAGGAUAGCUAGAAAACUGGCUAAAAAGGGAAUGAGAGAACAUGAAGACCAAAAGGACUGUUGUGGGAUAUUUUCCUAUCCUUCUUACCCUUACCAUAAAACAAGAUCUGUUAACCAAGCUUGGAAGGAGCAUGCAGUUCAAAGGUCAAAUGUAUGAAAGCAAAGCCUGCUUGAUAUACCAAGAGCUCUUUGUAAAUUUGAUUCUAACUGAGAAGCUAUAGAGCUGUGAAGGGGCGAAGGGCAGAGGAGAUAGUGCAGCACCCGCUGAAACGCUUCCAUUUUGUUUUCUGAGCUACUGCCACAAGGAAAGACUGCCUUCUGUGCUGAUGACAGAUCUGCCCUUCUGUUAUCAGACACUGCUCUUUUGCUAUCUCAGUUUCAUAACAAUUACCUCUGCCUGAGAGCUAUGGAUCAGCCACAUUGGGCAAAGCAGUCCUCUGAGAAAGAGAAUGAUGGAUGACAGAGUGAUUCCCUUCAACAUGACUGGGGCACUGAGGCUCCUGCUCAGCUCUGGAUAUGCUAGAGAACCCCCAUUGCUCCUUUUCACUGUAACUUCAGCUGCUGCACUGGAGCUAACAAAACUAUUCAAAGAAAAGCAUUCCAAGGAACCAUCUGAGAAGGUUCUUCAGCAUUGCUGAUGGGUCUUUCACUAAAUGGCCCUGGGACCUCCUGGCCCUUUAUCCAAGCUGCCUGGGCCCCGGCCUGCGUGUAAAUAUGUCAGAGCACCAAUGAGACGGAACACGGACACAGAAAUGCUGGCGGCUGCUCCCAGAUAAAACGCUGAGCUGAAGCCGAGGCGUUUAUUGUAAAUAAAGAUCAAGGCAAAGCAGCAAUGUUUCGGUUCGACUUCAGCCUGCCAAGUAGAGGGCACUGGAUCCUGUGAACAGGAAUUGGUACAGUGCAGCUCAAAGGGUCUAACAGCUUUAGCAGAUGGACUGAUUUUUUUUCCCUCUGGAUACUGGCGAUGUGGAAGAGAAGUCUGGCUUCGUCUGCUGUACGCCCACUGACAGACAUCCAAUGGUUAAUGGGAUAUAUGGACGGGAGACUUGAGCUUACUCCCUUGGAACCAUGACAGUUUGAGGUGUUGCCUGGCUCAGCCCUUGGAUGGGAAAGGAAAGAAUAACUUGAACAUCUCUCCAGUCAUUUCCUGAUAUUUUCAGUUAGAGAACAGAUGUGAUUCACUCCAGAAGGGACUGCUGAGUGCUCCCAUGUGUCUGAUCUACUAAGCAAGCAACCUUGGGAAGAUACAGUGUGGCUGUGUGCAUUGAUGAUCAGAAGAUUUGCCAUAGGAAUCCAGAAACACUGCCUUCCAGAGAACCGACUGUUGGCAUGGAAAACAAACACCAGAGAAACCCUGGAAUUCCGAGAUGUAGUUGACUUUCUGAAUGCAGGCAAGUUGCAAUUAAAAAACAGUUAUUUGGGGAGAGCAAUGCAUUCAAAAUACAGUUCUUUGGAGAGGGCUGGCAGGCACAUCACAAGUGAAAUAAAUUAGUAAUGUGAGGAGAUAGUUAUGCUUGAGGAUUAACGAAUUUUGGACAGCUGUAGGAGCCAACCCACUGGGCUCUGUGCAUUGCCUCACUGUAACUAUUUAUGCUGCUCCUCUGGAUACCGGGGCAUCACAGAGCCAGGCAUCUGAAGCACAGCUUUUCCCUACAAAUGCAACCAAACCAGCUGCUGCAUUUUGCAGAGAUCCUGACACUAUAGUGCUGAGCUGCUCUCCAUUCCACUUGGUGAAAUCCGCUCACCUCAGUCUGCGUGUUAGGGGUAUGGCCGGUCAGUCAGGCUUUGCUAGUAUGGGGCCGAGCAAGGAGAAAUAUCCUUAGUAGAGAUAUUUAUUGCAAAGCUGCUGAAAGGCUCACAGUAGACAGCCUACACAACGAAACCAUCUCCUUCAAUUAGUCCAUGGUCAUCAAUGAGGUAAAUGUCUCUGCCUUCUGACCCAGACAGGGUGGAGUUUUAAUAACAGACAUAAAUCUGUUGUGCUUCUCUCCUCAUGACCUAACGUAUGCUGUCAGGGCAAUGCAUGCCUCAGAGAAGGAGUAGAAUUUAUGUGUACAAUAAAACAAUAGAGCUUCAGUGCUAUCAGCUGUUUGAUGAACUUUAAUAUGCAUUUGCUAUAAAAAAGGCAGCGAGUACCAGAAUGCGAUACCCAAAUAAGAACCCUUGAUCCAUUUGCAUGACAGAUCUUCAAUUUACUCACAUUCAUGUCAGAGACACACAUAAAAGUUAUAUCCACGCUAAAAUUCACUUAGAAGCAGCCUGAAAUACCCCCCAGUUGCAAGUGAUACUGCAGUACUUAGCUAAUACUCAUGUUUCCGUGGCUUUGCCUUCACGAUUCUUCCAGUGGUUCCUUUAUGUUUUCUGGUAUUUUGCCAAACACCUGUGAAUCGGAGCACAACAAAUAUUCUUGCCAUUUAAUUUAGGCUUGCACAGAAAGGCUAUAGUAGGCCGGCUGCAGACCUAAUCCCAAACCUCUAAAGAGGUUUAAGGCACUCUGGUUUCACCUAAUCCCGAAACCUAAACCAGAAUCAUUGAAAACCUCCAUGACACCAUAGGAAUGGGCAAAUAAAGGGUCUCCACUAUGAAAUUAUUAAAGGGACACGGUGUAUCUUUUGGAUUUGAGACCUAAGGCUUUACCUAAGGAGCCCGGAGUCCACAAUGCAGUGUUU
ensembl:lncRNA